AUUGAACGCUGGCGGAAUGCUUUACACAUGCAAGUCGAACGGUAGAGGGGGCAACCCCUUGAGAGUGGCGAACGGGUGAGUAAUAUAUCGGAACGUACCCUAGAGUGGGGAUAACGCAGCGAAAGUUGCGCUAAUACCGCAUACGAUCUACGGAUGAAAGUGGGGGAUCGCAAGACCUCAUGCUCAUGGAGCGGCCGAUAUCUGAUUAGCUAGUUGGUGGGGUAAAGGCCUACCAAGGCAUCGAUCAGUAGCUGGUCUGAGAGGACGACCAGCCACACUGGGACUGAGACACGGCCCAAACUCCUACGGGAGGCAGCAGUGGGGAAUUUUGGACAAUGGCGCAAGCCUGAUCCAGCCAUUCCGCGUGCAGGAUGAAGGCCCUCGGGUUGUAAACUGCUUUGUACGGAACGAAAGGUUUCUCUUAAUACGAGGAGCUCAUGACGGUACCGUAAGAAUAAGCACCGGCUAACUACGUGCCAGCAGCCGC
rnacentral:rRNA from 1 species